rnacentral:rRNA from 1 species
UGCUCGUCGAACGGCAGCAUAGGAGCUUGCUCCUGAUGGCGAGUGGCGAACGGGUGAGUAAUAUAUCGGAACGUGCCCUAGAGUGGGGGAUAACUAGUCGAAAGACUAGCUAAUACCGCAUACGAUCUACGGAUGAAAGUGGGGGAUCGCAAGACCUCAUGCUCCUGGAGCGGCCGAUAUCUGAUUAGCUAGUUGGUGGGGUAAAAGCCUACCAAGGCAACGAUCAGUAGCUGGUCUGAGAGGACGACCAGCCACACUGGGACUGAGACACGGCCCAGACUCCUACGGGAGGCAGCAGUGGGGAAUUUUGGACAAUGGGGGCAACCCUGAUCCAGCAAUGCCGCGUGAGUGAAGAAGGCCUUCGGGUUGUAAAGCUCUUUUGUCAGGGAAGAAACGGUAGUAGCGAAUAACUAUUACUAAUGACGGUACCUGAAGAAUAAGCACCGGCUAACUACGUGCCAGCAGCCGCGGUAAUACGUAGGGUGCAAGCGUUAAUCGGAAUUACUGGGCGUAAAGCGUGCGCAGGCGGUUGUGUAAGUCAGAUGUGAAAUCCCCGGGCUCAACCUGGGAAUUGCAUUUGAGACUGCACGGCUAGAGUGUGUCAGAGGGGGGUAGAAUUCCACGUGUAGCAGUGAAAUGCGUAGAUAUGUGGAGGAAUACCGAUGGCGAAGGCAGCCCCCUGGGAUAACACUGACGCUCAU